CCAGCAGUCCCUGCUCCCUACAG
rnacentral:miRNA from 1 species